AUUGAACGCUGGCGGCAUGCCUAACACAUGCAAGUCGAACGUGAAAGCUCUUCGGAGUGAGUAGAGUGGCGAACGGGUGCGUAAUGCUUGGGAAUCUGCCUAGUAGUGGGGGACAACCCGAGGAAACUCGGGCUAAUACCGCAUACGUCUUACGAGAGAAAGGGGGCUUCGGCUCCCGCUAUUAGAUGAGCCCAAGUCCGAUUAGCUUGUUGGUGGGGUAACGGCCUACCAAGGCUGCGAUCGGUAGCUGGUCUGAGAGGACGAUCAGCCACACUGGAACUGAGACACGGUCCAGACUCCUACGGGAGGCAGCAGUGGGGAAUAUUGGACAAUGGGCGAAAGCCUGAUCCAGCAAUGCCGCGUGUGUGAAGAAGGCCUUCGGGUUGUAAAGCACUUUCAGUAAGGAAGAAAAGCAGGCUGUUAAUACCAGUCUGUCAUGACAUUACUUACAGAAGAAGCACCGGCUAACUCCG
rnacentral:rRNA from 1 species